rnacentral:rRNA from 1 species
GACGAACGCUGGCGGUGUGCUUAACACAUGCAAGUGGAGCGACGAACCAGGGCUUGCCCUGGGCAAGAGCCGCGAACGGGGGAGAAACACGUGGGUAACGUCCCCCGUUUACCGGGCCAACCCGAGGAAACCCGGGCAAAACCCGGAUGUGCCCUCCUCCCAUGGGGGAGGCGGGUAAAGGAAGCUCCGCCCUCCGAAUCGGAGGCGGCCGGCGGCCUAUUAGUUUGUUGGUGGGGUAACGGCCUACCAAGACUGCGAUAGGUAGCUGGUCUGAGAGGACGAUCAGCCACACUGGGACUGAGACACGGCCCAGACUCCUACGGGAGGCAGCAGUGGGGAAUCUUGCGCAAUGCGCGACAGCGUGACGCAGCAACACCGCGUGGGGGAAGAAGGCCUUCGGGUUGUAAACCCCUUUCAGGAGGGACGAAGGCCGGCCGGUGAAUAGCCGUGCCGGUUGACGGUACCUCCACAAGAAGCCCCGGCUAACUACGUG